UACGUAGGGAGCGAGCGUUGUCCGGAAUUACUGGGUGUAAAGGGCGCGUAGGCGGGAUUGCAAGUCAGAUGUGAAAGGCGGAGGCUCAACCUCCGAGCUGCAUUUGAAACUGUAGUUCUUGAGUGAAGUAGAGGCAAGCGGAAUUCCUGGUGUAGCGGUGAAAUGCGUAGAUAUCAGGAGGAACACCGGUGGCGAAGGCGGCUCGCUGGGCUUUUACUGACGCUGAGGCUCGAAAGCGUGGGGAGCAAACAGG
rnacentral:rRNA from 1 species